rnacentral:rRNA from 1 species
GGUGGGGUAAAGGCCUACCUAUGCGACGAUCUGUGUCGGGUCUGAGAGGAUGAUCCCCCACAGUGCGACUGAAACUCAGCUCAUACUCCUACUGCACGCAUCUGUGGGGAAUAUUGUACUAUGGGUGACAGCCUGAUCCAGCCAUGCCACGUGUGUGAAGAAGGCCUUUUGGUUGUAAAGCACUUUAAGCUAGGAGGACGCUCUCUUGGUUAAUACCCAAGAUGAGUGGACGUUACUCGCACAAUAAUCACCGGCUAACUCUGUGCCAUCAUCCUCGGUAAUACAGAGGGUGCGAUCGUCAAUCGGAUUUACUGGGCGUCAAGCGUGCGUACGCGGGUUUUUACCUCCGAUGUGAAAUCCCCGAGCUUAACUUGCGAAUUGCCUUCCAUACUGGGAAGCUAGACUAUGGGANAGGAUGGUAGAAUUCCAGGUGNANCGGUGAAAUGCGUAGAGAUCUGGAGGAAUACCGAUGGCGAAGGCAGCCAUCUGGCCUAAUACUGACGUUGAGGUAUGAAAGCAUGUGGAGCAAACAGGAUUAGAUACCGCGGUAGUCCAUGCUGUAAACGACGUCUCAUAGCCGCUGGGGCCUUUGAGGCUUUAGUGGCGCAGCUAACGUGAUAAGUAGACCGCUUGGGGAGUACGGUCGCAGAGACUAUAACUCAAAUGAAUUGACGGGGGCCCGCACAAGCGGUGGAGCAUGUGGUUUAAUUAGAUGCAACGCGAAGAACCUUACUUGGUCUUGACAUAGUAAGAACUUUCCAGAGAUGGAUUGGUGCCUUCGGGAAUUAACAUCCAGGUGCUGCAGGGCUGUCGUCAGCUGCCUUCUCGAGAUGUAGGGUUAAGUCCAGCAACGAGCGCAACCUCUCUUCUUAGUCGCGGGCAGAUCGGGCGGGAACUCUAAGGAUACUGCCAGUGACAAACUGGAGGAAUGCGGGGAUGACGUCAGUUCCUCAUGGCCCGUACGACCUGGGCUACUCACGUGCUACAAUGGUCGGUACAAAGGGUUGCUACCUCGCGAUAGGAUGCUAAUUUCAAAAAGCCGAUCGUAGUCAGGACUUGGAGUCUGCAAUUCGACUCCAUGAAGUAGGAAUCGUUAGUAAUCGCGGAUCAGAAUGCCGCGGUGAAUACGUUCCCG